UCUAAUAUGGCAGACUAGUGCAAUGGAUUUAAGCUCCAUAUAUAAAGUGAACCUUUUGUUAGAA
rnacentral:tRNA from 1 species